rnacentral:rRNA from 1 species
AUUGAACGCUGGCGGCAGGCCUAACACAUGCAAGUCGAACGAGUGGCGAACGGGUGAGUCAUGUCUGGGAAACUGCCUGAAGGAGGGGGAUAACUACUGGAAACGGUAGCUAAUACCGCAUACCCUCAGAUGUGUCCCGAUGGGAGUAGCUUGUUGGUGGGGUCACGGCUCACAAAGGCGACGAUCCCUAGCUGGUCUGAGAGGAUGACGGGCCAGACGGGAAAGGAGACACGGUCGAGACUCGUACGGGAGGCGGCAGUGGGGAAUAUUGCACGAAGGGCGCAAGCCUGAUGCAGCCAUGCCGCGUGUAUGAAGAAGGCCUUCGGGUUGUAAAGUACCGGCCGCGGGGAGGCGUUACCUGCAGAAGAAGCACCGGCUAACUCCGUGCCAGCAGCCGCGGUAAUAC